GACGAACGCUGGCGGCGUGCCUAAUACAUGCGAGUCGAACGCUUCUUUCCUCCCGAGUGCUUGCACUCAAUUGGAAAGAGGAGUGGCGGACGGGUGAGUAACACGUGGGUAACCUACCCAUCAGAGGGGGAUAACACUUGGAAACAGGUGCUAAUACCGCAUAACAGUUUAUGCCGCAUGGCAUAAGAGUGAAAGGCGCUUUCGGGUGUCGCUGAUGGAUGGACCCGCGGUGCAUUAGCUAGUUGGUGAGGUAACGGCUCACCAAGGCCACGAUGCAUAGCCGACCUGAGAGGGUGAUCGGCCACACUGGGACUGAGACACGGCCCAGACUCCUACGGGAGGCAGCAGUAGGGAAUCUUCGGCAAUGGACGAAAGUCUGACCGAGCAACGCUGCGUGAGUGAAGAAGGUUUUCGGAUCGUAAAACUCUGUUGUUAGAGAAGAACAAGGACGUUAGUAACUGAACGUCCCCUGACGGUAUCUAACCAGAAAGACACGGCUAACUACGUG
rnacentral:rRNA from 1 species